AUUGAACGCUGGCGGCAGGCCUAACACAUGCAAGUCGAACGAGUGGCGGACGGGUGAGUAAUGUCUGGGAAACUGCCUGAUGGAGGGGGAUAACUACUGGAAACGGUAGCUAAUCCCGCAUACCAUCAGAUGUGCCCAGAUGGGAUUGGCUGGUGGGGGGGGUAACGGCUCACCAAGGCGACGAUCCCUAGCUGCUCUGAGAGGAUGACAAGCAACACUGGAAUGGAGACACGGUCCAGACUCUUACGGGAGGCACAAGUGGGGAAUAUUGCAAAAUGGGCGCAAGCCUGAUGCAGCCAGGCCGCGUGUAUGAAGAAGGUCUUCGGGUUGGAAAGUACUUUCAGCGGGGAGGCGUUACCCGAAGAAGAAGCACCGGCUAACUCCGUGCCAGCAGCCGCGGUAAUUC
rnacentral:rRNA from 1 species